UAUGUCAGUCACUGGCAAUUCCCAGUGUCACCUCUUUUGAAAGCUUCUUAAUACCCAUUAGCUGUAAAAAUAAAUAAAUAAAUAACUGCACUAACAUCAGCCACUUUGUGAAAAUCCCCACAGGUAACUAGCCAAUGAUGUGCAUUCAUCAGUAUUUCAUCAUUCUGCUGUCAAACACAGCCUGAUGGAAAAGGCUACAGAAUUACAUAAGCCUUGAGAGGCUUUUUGGAAGAAGCCUUUUUAAAUGCUUAUAUAAAAUUGUUACUGUCAGAAUAAAAUCUUGUAUCUCUUUUUGUUUUUUGGGGGGUUUUUUUGGAUUGUUUUUUUACAGAAUGUAAAAAUAUUAUCUGACCUUUACAUUUUCUGAAAAGUGAUGUCUGAUGAGUGGACUAACAGAUAUGGCCCAGAAUAACUUGGAAUAAAAAUCCAGUUCCAUUAACUUCCAUUCAAAGUCAAGUUUGCUUUUCCUUCCCCAGAAAAGUUUCAGACAUACAAAGUUUUAUUCUGACAGUGACAUUAUGUAGAUGUCAUGUAGACUUACAAGCCCUGCAGUAAAGUGUUACCGAUUACUCCUACACUAGUGGCCUCAACUCAGCCGUUCCAAAUAAGCUCUUGUGCUCAAGUGAACAUGAAGAAUCUACAGUUACACAUUAAAAUAAUCCAGAACCUGGACGCGAAUGUGAAAUUUGCAGGCAGUUAGUAGAUUUGUCUGUGGGUUUAGUCCCAUACAACGUGCACAAGCUGUAAGAUGACGUUGCUGUACAGAAUGACCAUGCAUGAUGGUAACAUGUGCUUACUGGCUUUGUAAAUAAAAAAAGAAGUAAUGACAUGCUGCUCAAGAGAACACCAAAAGCCUUUGAUACUUUGUGUAAACUGUUUCAAAACAUUUUAAAACUCGCUGUUCACUUUCUAACCAUAAGUGCAUGUAUAGAAGCUAAGCUACAGCCCCUUUUUGAAUUCAUCAUAGUAGUGGCUGCAUUUACAGCAAUUACAGCAUUUAACAAUUAAACAUUGUGCUGUUUCGGAUUUUCUUAUUUGCGGCCUUCCAUACAUCUACAGGUCGUGGAAGUUGAAAAGGACUUAACGCAUCCUUUUCAGUGAACACAGUUCUGAGCAAUUUAAUACACAAUUACUGUUUAUUUACUGACUUGAUCAUAUUGUGGGGGGGGGGUGUUGGUAAAAUGUGGCCUGCGUAAAAGUUAUGGCACAUUUUUUCCCGAAUAUGGUACAAGAAAUGUGAACAAAAUUGUCAGGAAAAUGGCAUAUUUAACUGUGUUCUUUGUAGAGGGUGAUUUAACUCCUGUCCGCCCUGUGGAGACAAAAGUAUAUCAGCCUUCAGGGCACCAACAAAAACAGUCUGUUUUAAUUCAGAUAGAUAAAGGAUGGAAAAUGUAUCAUGUAAAAAUCUGUCAUAACUGUUUUACAUAGGACCACACAACACCGACGAGAAUAAAGAAAUAAAAAAAAUCUUAUUUCUGUAAGCAAUAGCUCAUAAAAUAGGUAAAUACUACAGUACAGUACUCCUGUAAUAACUCCUGUUAAGCAAAACGUCAGCGCUCUUUUCCCUACAGUGGCAAUUAGUCCUAUAACAGGCCUCCCGUUCAGCCGAUAAUGGGCUUCUGUCUGGAGCUCAGGCCUGGAAUGGAGCAUGAUUUGACAGCGGAGGACGAUGAUCGAAUUAGGGGGCCAUUUGCUAUCUCUUCCGGACAAGCCUUACUGUGCUAGAGUUGGAGACUGAUCUCAGCGCUGAUCGAUAGCUCAUCCGUGCCUUCAGCUCCAGCAGCAUGGUGCAGGAAGCAGCAGGGUGUGGGGAAGAAAAGGCAGCGAAGCUAGCUUGCAGCAAGAGGUCCACACUGCUUAAUAGCCUAAUAAGAAAGACCAGAUACAUUAUAGUCAGAAAGAAAGUUGAUACAGGGAAAAAGAAGGCGGUCGUUUUUUGUGUAAAACUGUGUGCCUUAUUUGUCUAGGCCUUAUAACCAGUGGAAAAAGCAGUUAAAAGUCUUAGAAUAUUCCUGCAAUAGUUUAUAUUCAUCACAGUUGCAGAUGCGUUAAGUUUAAUAUCCUGAAUUCCUUGUGAAAAGUGAUCAAAUCUUGAGACAGAUAACUUGCCAACAAGUAACAAUAGUUAACUGCAGUAUUUUGUUUCAUGUAUUUAAUUAAUUCUUGAAUACAAUUCCUUAAAAAUACCCAUUAGCUUGAUUUCUAAUGUUUAAAUCAAGUUAUUGGGGGCGGGGUGUUUAUUCCCCAUAACAGAAUGUAAAUGUGUGAUCAGUGUUGUUGUUGGACAGCUUGGGGAGGAUGUGCUGAGACUGGCCUGUGGAGCAGGUGCUGGAUGCUGCGUUUGAGCCAUUAGGGGGACCCAAGGGUUUCUGCCUCUUGUAAUCAAUUUAAUUGCCUUAUUUUGGCCACUCCUACAGCAUGAGCACUGACUGAGCACCACCUUCUUCUCCUUCAUCAAAGGCAGCUUUCAGUAAAACCAGAAGCACAGCAGCACUUUUUCUGCCUGGGCUCUCUGCAGAGAAUACACUCAGAUCCAGGUCUGGAAACGCCCCUGCCUCUUUGAAGAAGCUUGAAAGCUUGACGAGUUUGAAGAUGGAGGUGCAUUUUGAAACAGAGCCACUGACGCUUCGCUUUCUCCGGACUUUCAGAGAACUGCUGAGAUUUGUUCUGUUCACCUAUACAGUGUUAUUCGGUGCCUUGAUCCUCGCUGGAUGGACUACAUACUUCAUUGUUGCUAAAUAAACUAAGACACCAUCUUCCAGACGGUUGCUUUGCCAGCUACUUAGGUUUGUCCAGUGCAAUAUGACUUUGUUUGGACAUUGUUUGCGUGCUGCUUUUUAAGUAUAUUUUUGUAAUUUAUUAUUUUUUGUGAACAUAUGAAAUAAAUUGGCCAGCUGACUGUU